rnacentral:misc_RNA from 1 species
AUGAAGAACGUAGCGAAAUGCGAUAAGUAAUGUGAAUUGCAGAAUUCAGUGAAUCAUCGAAUCUUUGAACGCACCUUGCGCUCCUUGGUAUUCCGAGGAGCAUGCCUGUUUGAGUGUCAUUAAUAUAUCAACCUUCUCUUUUUUGAGUUGUUUGGAUGUGGGGGUUUGCUGGCCUCUUAAAUGAUUCAGCUCCCCUGAAAUGCAUUAGCAGAACAACCUGUUCAUUGGCGUGAUAAUUAUCUAUGCUAUUGAAUGUGAGGGCAGUUCAGCUUUCUAACCGUCCUUGGACAAUUCAUCAUUAAUGUGACCUCAAAUCAGGUAGGACUACCCGCUGAACUUAAGCAUAUCAAUAAGCGGAGGA